UACGGAGGGGGCUAGCGUUGUUCGGAAUUACUGGGCGUAAAGCGCACGUAGGCGGCUUUGUAAGUUAGAGGUGAAAGCCCGGGGCUCAACUCCGGAAUUGCCUUUAAGACUGCAUCGCUAGAAUUGUGGAGAGGUAAGUGGAAUUCCGAGUGUAGAGGUGAAAUUCGUAGAUAUUCGCAAGAACACCAGUGGCGAAGGCGGCUGACUGGUCCGGUUCUGACGCUGAGGCGCGAAAGCGUGGGGAGCAAACAGG
rnacentral:rRNA from 1 species